rnacentral:rRNA from 1 species
AGUUUGAUCCUGGCUCAGAUUGAACGCUGGCGGCAUGCCUUACACAUGCAAGUCGAACGGCAGCGGGGGAAAGCUUGCUUUCCUGCCGGCGAGUGGCGAACGGGUGAGUAAUACAUCGGAACGUGCCCUGUAGUGGGGGAUAACUAGUCGAAAGAUUAGCUAAUACCGCAUACGACCUGAGGGUGAAAGUGGGGGACCGCAAGGCCUCAUGCUAUAGGAGCGGCCGAUGUCUGAUUAGCUAGUUGGUGGGGUAAAGGCCUACCAAGGCGACGAUCAGUAGCUGGUCUGAGAGGACGAUCAGCCACACUGGGACUGAGACACGGCCCAGACUCCUACGGGAGGCAGCAGUGGGGAAUUUUGGACAAUGGGCGAAAGCCUGAUCCAGCAAUGCCGCGUGUGUGAAGAAGGCCUUCGGGUUGUAAAGCACUUUUGUCCGGAAAGAAAUGGCUCUGGUUAAUACCCGGAGUUGAUGACGGUACCGGAAGAAUAAGGACCGGCUAACUACGUGCCAGCAGCCGCGGUAAUACGUAGGGUCCAAGCGUUAAUCGGAAUUACUGGGCGUAAAGCGUGCGCAGGCGGUUGUGCAAGACCGAUGUGAAAUCCCCGGGCUUAACCUGGGAAUUGCAUUGGUGACUGCACGGCUAGAGUGUGUCAGAGGGAGGUAGAAUUCCACGUGUAGCAGUGAAAUGCGUAGAGAUGUGGAGGAAUACCGAUGGCGAAGGCAGCCUCCUGGGAUAACACUGACGCUCAUGCACGAAAGCGUGGGGAGCAAACAGGAUUAGAUACCCUGGUAGUCCACGCCCUAAACGAUGUCAACUAGUUGUUGGGGAUUCAUUUCCUUAGUAACGUAGCUAACGCGUGAAGUUGACCGCCUGGGGAGUACGGUCGCAAGAUUAAAACUCAAAGGAAUUGACGGGGACCCGCACAAGCGGUGGAUGAUGUGGAUUAAUUCGAUGCAACGCGAAAAACCUUACCUACCCUUGACAUGCCACUAACGAAGCAGAGAUGCAUUAGGUGCUCGAAAGAGAAAGUGGACACAGGUGCUGCAUGGCUGUCGUCAGCUCGUG